rnacentral:rRNA from 1 species
GUAACGGCGAGUGAAGCGGCAACAGCUCAAAUUUGAAAUCUGGCCCCCGGGUCCGAGUUGUAAUUUGUAGAGGAUGCUUUUGGUGCGGUACCUUCCGAGUUCCCUGGAACGGGACGCCAUAGAGGGUGAGAGCCCCGUCUGGUUGGACGCCAAUCCUUUGUAAAGCUCCUUCAACGAGUCGAGUAGUUUGGGAAUGCUGCUCUAAAUGGGAGGUAUAUGUCUUCUAAAGCUAAAUAUUGGCCAGAGACCGAUAGCGCACAAGUAGAGUGAUCGAAAGAUGAAAAGCACUUUGAAAAGAGAGUUAAAAAGUACGUGAAAUUGUUGAAAGGGAAGCGCUCAUGACCAGACUUGGGCUUGGUUGAUCAUCCAGGGUUCUCCCUGGUGCACUCUUCCAGCCCAGGCCAGCAUCAGUUCGCUGUGGGGGAUAAAGGCUUCGGGAAUGUGGCUCCCUCGGGAGUGUUAUAGCCCGUUGUGUAAUACCCUGUGGUGGACUGAGGUUCGCGCAUUCGCAAGGA